rnacentral:rRNA from 1 species
AACGAACGCUGGCGGCAUGCCUAACACAUGCAAGUCGAACGAGACCUUCGGGUCCAGUGGCGCACGGGUGCGUAACGCGUGGGAACCUGCCCUUAGGUUCGGAAUAACUCCCCGAAAGGGGUGCUAAUACCGGAUAAUGUCUUCGGACCAAAGAUUUAUCGCCUUUGGAUGGGCCCGCGUUGGAUUAGCUAGUUGGUAGGGUAAAAGCCUACCAAGGCGACGAUCCAUAGCUGGUCUGAGAGGAUGAUCAGCCACACUGGGACUGAGACACGGCCCAGACUCCUACGGGAGGCAGCAGUGGGGAAUAUUGGACAAUGGGCGAAAGCCUGAUCCAGCACUGCCGCGUGAGUGAUGAAGGCCUUAGGGUUGUAAAGCUCUUUUACCCGGGAUGAUAAUGACAGUACCGGGAGAAUAAGCUCCGGCUAACUCCGU